rnacentral:lncRNA from 1 species
CAUGUUCACAAGUUGCAUGAUUUGUAGAAUUUAUCACUUCAUUGGUGAAAUAUUCGUUGUAAAAUUUAUUGUUUCAUAAUUUUUAAUAAAUUCUCUGAAUUCUGAAAAUUAAAAAGUCUCAGAUUAAAUUUUAAAAGUCAAGUGAUGUUAUAAUUUGGGAUAUAUGCUACUACAUACAUAAAAAUGUUGGUCAGUUUUUACUAGUGAGUUUGUGGAAUGAAUCCAUUAUUAAUCAGUUGUCCUUUCCUGGUUGAGUUGCUGGUAUCUCUUACUACACCCUUGACCCUUGGCUUUGUCUAAUGAAAGUAAAGUGAAAUCAGGGUGAUAUUGGGUAAAAUGAACAAUUUAUUGAGUUAAUCUGAGGGAGGAAGAGGAGGAAAGGGUAGCUUAGCUGCCUGCCACGGGUUAUAUAUUCUCUGUUCUAACAAGAUAUUCAUUCACGUGGCUUCUCUCAUCCUCUCUCUCUCUUCCUACAAAGGCUUCAAUGAUUUCGCGGGUCCUCUAUAAAUAUUUUGGUGUACUCCCUACCCCUCCCCAAGCAUCUCCUUUUGAUUCCUUUAUGUAUAUAUAUAUAUAUUUCUCUCUGACACUCGCGCUCACUCUUCUGCUUAAUUGAAUCAGUUCAGUGGAUCAGGAGACAUACUAAUAAUUUAUACUCUCCCCUUCUCAUAUACAUGGUUUUUUAUUUAUUUAUUAUUAUUAUUACUACUACUAUUAUUAUUGUUGGUAUUGUUACAAUUAUUUAUUUCAGAUCCUGAUUGUAGAGUGGUAUAGUUAGUUUGUCCUUGUUAACAAUGUAGUUUCUCUCCUUCCUCUCCCUCUCUCAAAGUCUCAUCUCAUCUGUAUAGUCACACUAUAUUUAUUUGAAUAAAGGAGUGUAGGAGUUUAGAUGCUGGCUGAUUAUUUUAAUGGACAUUUCAUUGCCCUCCAUAAAAUUCCCACAGGGUACUCCUCUGAUUUCUAUGGAAAGCUGUGACAACUGGCCAAGCUUCAGGUUCUGGCGAGGUAGUUAGCAUUCUGGAGGUCAGCUUUCUUUCUUUCUUUGGAUUUACUUUAUUAAUAUACUCAACUAUUGUUUUAGUUAUUUAUUUCCUCCUCUUCUGUAUUCUUCAUACCAAUAAUUCUAUGAAAGCUUUCUUAUUGUCUCUUUAAUUUUUUAAGGAAACUGAUAAAUCCACAAUAGAAAAUAAUAUUUUCACAUGAAAACGUCAGUAUAGAUCCUAUAGCGACGGGUUUCACCGUCGCUAUACAUCUAUAACGAUACUUUUCAUGUGAAAAUAUAAAAAAGUGUUGUGAAAAUAUCAAUUUCUUUCUUCUUUUUUUGCUAAUUCAGGGGUUGAGGUUGAACCCAAGACUUCUUACUUUGUAAAAGGUCUGGGGUACCAACUGAGCCAAGACCAGUUGGUAAAUAUCAAUUUCUUUAAUUGAAGAAGGCAAUCACAUUUGAUAGUGCAAAUUUGCGUAAUAUAUGACUACUCAAUUUAUUUAGCUAAUGCACUCAGAAGUCUUUUGUAGCGUUGAUUGUGGUUUAUAUACAGUGUUCUAAAAAUCGUUAGGCGAACCUAGGCAGCGGAAGGGGCGCCUAGGCGGACUAAGUUUUCCUUAAGCGGUCUCAUUUAUUUAUUUUUCUUACCGUGCCUUUAUCUUAUACUAUACUAAGCAAAUCUUACAUGAAACAUUACCAAGAAAAAUUCUUUGUAGGCAUAACAAAAUCAUUUGAAGUGUAAAGUAGAUGUUUGAUUUUGCCUACGCGGGGCCUAGGUUCCCAGCCAAAUCGAGGCGGUAGAGGACCGCCUAGUGCCUAGGCAGGAAUUUUUCGACCACUAUUUAUAUAUAGUGGUUCAUUAGUUCCCUCCUCCACCCCCCACUCCUUCCUUUUUAUUUCUUAUUGCUACAUUUGAUCUGUCUUGCAACUUCUGUGGAAUUGAGAAAGGGAGGUGAGUACUUUUUUCUGAAAAUUCUUCUGAUUUCUGGAAAUGGGAAAAAUGGUUCACUUCCUCUCAUGAUCUCAAUUGUAUACAAGGAAAAUUAAUAUACAACUACAUGCUCCAAGUCCUUAACAUCUAUGUGCCUCAUAUUCUAUAAUAAUGAAAUGCUGUUAUGCAUGAUACAGUUCUUGGAGAUAGUAAUUUCAAAUGUUGAAGAAUAUGUGGAGAUCUAUAAUAAAGGUGGUUGUUGUGUUUAAAGGACUACUACGUAUGUACAAUUCAUAUAUAAAUUAACAAGCUUAAUCAGAAUGGAACCCCCGUCAUGGAUCCCACACAAAUCCACCAAGCAUAUUUCUUCAACACUUUUCAAUUAUACGUUAGUACUCAAUCACCCAAUCUCAUGCUAGUUAUGGCUUUAUGAAAGGGUAAAUCCUACAAAAGUUGAUCGCUUCAAAUCAGAAAAAUUGAGAAAAGAAGGCACAUAUAAAAUACAUACAUGAUAACCGAUCAGGUUGAUGACGGAAACAUGUUUUCCUCACUCCUGGAUCUGCAGGUGUUACAUUGAACAAAUUACUUGAGUAUCCUUCCUAUGAUGAUUGUCAUUUUCUUCCUAGUAUGUAUUCGUUCACUAUUUCUAUGAUUCAUUACCUAUUGCUUUAUGCUAGGUGUCAUUUCAUGAAUCAGGUCCAACUAAUCCCCACAAUUCCUUUCUCGUGAACAAGUCUUUUAUAGAGUAAUGAUGUUUAAUUUGGUACUAUAUUCAAUAAUUUCCAAAGAUCACUAACAUAUGCUUAUUAUCAUGGUUUGAGCAGGAUGACUUAAAAUCACUUGAAGAUCUUCAACUUGCUUCUAGUUGUUGCAAAGAGUAUGUGGUACUUCAUUUAUCAGUUACCUCCUUACGUAGGUGUUGUUUGGUCAAGCCAAAAUGAUAUAUUUAUACUUGUGAAGCAUAUUUGCAAGUCUUAGUACUAAUGUGAUUUUCCAUUUGUAUCGUUACAGGCACGAUGACUUUAUAGAGACUGGACAAGAUCCUUUUAUAACACUAUGUAUGGACCCUCGUAAUUCUGUAAUAGUAGUAGUAAUCAUGAGCUCAUCACAUAGUCACACUAUCCUGUCUUUUCUUUUACUUAUUUUAAUUGUUUUGUGACCGGAAAUCAGAAAGUCAGUGGAUCAAAUUACUUUUGGAAGCGGCGGCUAUGGUACUUUUUCUAUGUCGUCUCUUCUUGUUAAUAGCUUACAUCUUUUACUCUUUUUUUUUUUUUCAGUUUAGGUAAUUCUUGUGAUUUAAAAUGCAUACCUAGAAUAACUUUUAAAAUACUUGAUCAGUUUUACAUUUGUCCUGGAGUUUAUUCUUAGUGAAUAAUAGUAACAAUGUUAAAUAUAAUAUAUCUGGUUUCCUCCAGUUCUUAUUUUCCACGUUUUUUGUUUAAGUUUAUGUAUGAGCUAAAAGUCUUUGAAAUGAACUUGUAGAUUUGAGACCUGAACUUUCUGGAUGCUUCAAAGGCAGUCCAUAGGAAGUUCAUUUAGUUUUAUGAUCAAUCAAGAGUUUGCCGUACCCACCACUAUAUAUAGAAAUAGAACAUGUCAUGGUAAUGCAUGUACUUUUCAGAGUUGUUAUGUUAGACAAUUGACACAAGUAAACAAAUUGUUAUGAGUGAGAGAGAGAGCUUAACAUACUAGCCGUUAGCCAUUGUUUUAUGUAUAUACACUAUACACUUACCUGUGUAGGCGGCACAGUAGCAGCUUACUUGACUUUAAAUCUGCAGAACACUUGCCGUUUAGCCAGCCAGCAUUUGAUCAUUGAUCAGAAGCAAAAAUCCCUCGUCUAUUUUACUGAUAACAAGGUUAUAUAUAGCCUAUUCAAGUAUGGACCAUGAAAGAACAUAGCACAUUCUUGUUUCUUCUAAAAACGUCUUAAAUUGCUUGCUUGUACUAUAUAUGAUAAAUUUAUUUAGACGUGAGACUAUUUGGAAUUUCAUGAAAUUCAUAUGUAACUUGUGGUAAACAGGGGCGAGUUUGGAGUGAAAGGUUCAUGGAUUUGGUGCUGCCUGCUUUUGUGGAUAUUGGCACCAAAUUUGGGUCUACAGAGGUGAAGCUAUGUUCCAACUGUGCCAGAGCUUCUUGCUAUAAUUUGGUUGGCCAUCCGUUUCAACAAAUGUAUAAUUAAACUAGGGACUAAAACUUUUUUCUAGAGAUUUAGUGAAAAGUGCAAUUUGCAUAUCAUGGUUCCACUGGCAGUAAAUGAAAAAGAAAAGUUAGUCCUUUUUUCUUACGUAAAAGUAUGUUGGAGGCUCGAGUAUUUAUAUGUAUACUAAUUUUAUGUCGAAUUUAAAUUUAAAUUUAAAUUUGAAUGUAUUAGGAACAUUCUAAGUAGACAAUUUGAU